AAGGAGUCUAACGUCUAUGCGAGUGUUUGGGUGUCAAGCCCGCGCGCGCAAUGAAAGUGAACGGAGGUGGGAACCCGCAAGGGUGCACCAUCGACCGAUCCUGAUGUCUUCGGAUGGAUUUGAGUAAGAGCAUAGCUGUUGGGACCCGAAAGAUGGUGAACUAUGCUUGAAUAGGGUGAAGCCAGAGGAAACUCUGGUGGAGGCUCGCAGCGGUUCUGACGUGCGAAUCGAUCGUCAAAUUUGGGCAUAGGGGCGAAAGACUAAUCGAACUAUCUAGUAGCUGGUUCCUGC
rnacentral:misc_RNA from 1 species